ensembl:lncRNA
AUUGUAAUACUAAUAAUUGACGUCCAAUAAAACUACACAAAUUCCUACAAACAAUUUAUAUGAGUGCCCGUUUUCUCUCACUGUGACUAUCAGUAGAUAUUAACAAGCUCUUAAUUUUUCUGAAUAUUAUGAGAAAAAAAAAUCUUAUUUGAGUUUACAUUUCCCUAAUUACUUUUCAUGUAUUAGGAAGUAUUUUUAUUUCUUCCAAGAAUUUCUAUUUUUAUCCUUCCUCUUUUUCUAUUGGAGUGUCUUGUGCUUUACUUGUUGAUUUAAAGAAAUCUUUAUUUGGACAUUAAAUCUUUGAAUUGUAUGUUGUAAAUAUUACUCAUAGCUUGUGACAAGCAUAUUUAGUGACUUGCAUAAACAAAUUUAGUUUGUGCUAUCAUUGAAUGACAUUUUCAACAGAUCUGUUCACCAUCCUUUCCUUAAAAUAUAAUUCAUAUUCUAAGCAUUACAGGACAGUAGCUUAUUUUAUAUACAUGUUCAGACCAAAGGGCUUCCAUAAUUUAUUUUUUAGGAUUAUUGAUCCUUUUUUGGAAUCACCUGAAAUCUAUUCUUUAGAGUCAACAUCCCAGUUCAUAGAUGAGAUAGAGGAAGAACUUCUCCCUAGCCUAAAGAAAAUUUAGUUACAAAUACACAUCCCUAAUAAUUGCUCUCCAAACUGGAUAACAUCUUGGCCCAACUCCACCUGGGCCCAGUUGUCGAUCCAAAAACUACCGGGUUCUUUGACAAUGCAUUUUCCAAAUCAAAUUGCUACACCCUCCUCCCCUUCCAGAGCUGUCCUGCCCAAGUGAUCACGAGAGUGUCUAUUGCAUAGAUAGUUCUCUGUUCUUCUGCCUCCCUAUUAAUUAACUCCCUAUUAAUUCAAUUCCAUACUCCCAUUACAAUUAAAACCCACUCUAAUUUGUGUCCACACAGCCUGGGGCACUACUUCCACACCAAAGCCUACCCUGCCUCAGAUUCUAUCUAAGAAAUGACAAAAGUGGGUCAAGCCAGGUUCUGCACAUGUUACCUGAUUGUUAACAGCGUGGCUUGUGGCAUUUCCAAAAAUUGGUCCCAGUUCAUGUUUUCUCUUUUCUCUUCUCUUCUCUUCUCUCUUUUCUUUCUUUCUUCUUUUCACAGACAACCCAGUCUGUGACUCAUGACUUCCCAUAUAUCACUGACCAAGCAAUCAAAAUGCGAGUUCUACAGUAGUCUACAAAUAAGAGCCAAGCUGAGCCACCAGAGCUCCAGUAGAGAAAACAUAACAAAACCAGAUACACCACGCAAAAUUCCCCCUACAUGCCUAUCUAAAUCUCUUCUUUUGCUAUAUUGAAAAAAAACACUUCUAUAUCUUGUAUUUUUAGGAGGUUGCUACAACUCCACUCUUGGACUCAUAAAAUUUGUGUUGGUCAUUUUAUGUACUUUUGGAGACAAUAUUGGAAACUCGUGGGCAAAAUAACUAACUUUUAGCACAUAUUUUCUGUGAAAAUUCACAUUUUUGUUUCAACACUGUAGCUUAUAUCACAUAUGGGGAAUGUUUCAAUUGACAUUAACCAUUGUUUUCCCUUGAUGCUCUAAGUGUCAAAAUUUGUCCACUAAAAGCCCUGUUUUCAGGCUGAGCAAAUUGUCCAUUUUAUCUCUAACCCAGAAACUACUGAGUUUCCUUGUUCCUGAAAACAAAAUGUUUCCGGAUGAUCUUUAUUUUUCAUGUGCCAAGAUAUUGAACCAAUUAUUCUCCAAGUGGAUGUCAAGAGAGGGUGUUAGACUCCAAAUCUUGGCACUAGUGAAGCAUAAAUCCUGAUGUUAGCCAAGUGACC